GGGUAAGUCUUUCACGACCAGCUCCUGCUGAAUCCCCCAGGCUGGGAACGGAGCAAGGGUAGGUGGUUGUAGCGGUGCGAUGAAAGUAGCUUACCCUUU
rnacentral:SRP_RNA from 1 species